rnacentral:rRNA from 1 species
AGGACGAACGCUGGCGGCGUGCUUAACACAUGCAAGUCGAGCGGUAAGGCCUUUCGGGGUACACGAGCGGCGAACGGGUGAGUAACACGUGGGUGAUCUGCCCUGCACUUCGGGAUAAGCCUGGGAAACUGGGUCUAAUACCGGAUAUGACCUCCUAUCGCAUGGUGGGUGGUGGAAAGAUUUAUCGGUGCAGGAUGGGCCCGCGGCCUAUCAGCUUGUUGGUGGGGUAAUGGCCUACCAAGGCGACGACGGGUAGCCGACCUGAGAGGGUGACCGGCCACACUGGGACUGAGACACGGCCCAAACUCCUACGGGAGGCAGCAGUGGGAAUAUGCACAAUGGGCAAAGCCUGAUGCAGCGACGCCGCGUGAGGGAUGACGGCCUUCGGGUUGUAAACCUCUUUCAGCAGGACGAAGCGCAAGUGACGGUACCUGCAGAAGAAGCACCGGCUAACUACGUGCCAGCAGCCGAC